CCCUUAGAUGUCCGGGGCCGCACGCGCGCUACACUGAAGGAAUCAGCGUGGCUUUCUCCCUGACCCGAAAGGGUUGGGAAACCCGUUGAAUCUCCUUCGUGAUAGGGAUUGGGGCUUGAAAUUGUUCCCCAUGAACGAGGAAUUCCCAGUAAGCGCGAGUCAUAAGCUCGCGUUGAUUACGUCCCUGCCCUUUGUACACACCGCCCGUUGCUACUACCGAUUGAACGGUUUAGUGAGGGCCUCGGAUUGGUCUCGGCCCGCUCUUUACCGGGCGGCGCCGUUGGUCGAGAAGACGCUCGAACUUGAUCGUUUAGAGGAAGUAAAAGUCGUAACA
rnacentral:rRNA from 1 species